GUGGGGAAUUUUGGACAAUGGGCGAAAGCCUGAUCCAGCAAUGCCGCGUGCAGGAUGAAGGCCCUCGGGUUGUAAACUGCUUUUGUACGGAACGAAAAGCCUGGGGCUAAUAUCCCCGGGUCAUGACGGUACCGUAAGAAUAAGCACCGGCUAACUACGUGCCAGCAGCCGCGGUAAUACGUAGGGUGCAAGCGUUAAUCGGAAUUACUGGGCGUAAAGCGUGCGCAGGCGGUUUUGUAAGACAGUGGUGAAAUCCCCGGGCUCAACCUGGGAACUGCCAUUGUGACUGCAAGGCUAGAGUGCGGCAGAGGGGGAUGGAAUUCCGCGUGUAGCAGUGAAAUGCGUAGAUAUGCGGAGGAACACCGAUGGCGAAGGCAAUCCCCUGGGCCUGCACUGGCGCUCAUGCACGAAAGCGUGGGGAGCAAACAGGAUUAGAAACCCUUGUAGUCC
rnacentral:rRNA from 1 species